rnacentral:rRNA from 1 species
AACGCAAGUGCGAUAGGGGACUCCGAGUGUGAAGGCAUAGAGCCUUCACUUUUGUACACCGUAAGGUGGUGUACGAAUAAGGGCUGGGCAAGACCGGUGCCAGCCGCCGCGGUAAUACCGGCAGCCCGAGUGAUGGCCGAUAUUAUUGGGCCUAAAGCGUCCGUAGCUGGCCGGACAAGUCCGUUGGGAAAUCUGUUCGCUUAACGAGCAGGCGUCCAGCGGAAACUGUUCGGCUUGGGACCGGAAGACCUGAGGGGUACGUCCGGGGUAGGAGUGAAAUCCCGUAAUCCUGGACGGACCACCGGUGGCGAAAGCGCCUCAGGAGAACGGAUCCGACAGUGAGGGACGAAAGCUAGGGUCUCGAACCGGAUUAGAUACCCGGGUAGUCCUAGCUGUAAACGAUGCCCGCUAGGUGUGGCGCAGGCUACGAGCCUGCGCUGUGCCGUAGGGAAGCCGAGAAGCGGGCCGCCUGGGAAGUACGUCUGCAAGGAUGAAACUUAAAGGAAUUGGCGGGGGAGCACUACAACCGGAGGAGCCUGCGGUUUAAUUGGACUCAACGCCGGACAUCUCACCAGCUCCGACAGUAGUAAUGACGUCAGGUGAUGACCUUCCCCGCUACUGAGAAGAGG